rnacentral:RNase_P_RNA from 1 species
AAACUAGUUAAGGCAGCUGCUUCGAAGCGAUUCGGAGAGGAAAGUCCGAGCAGGUAACAGCGGCGAUAGUCGGGAAAUCCGACCGGGCGCGAGCCUCGAGAAAGCGCAACAGAAAGAUACCGCCAGCGGUCCGAUCGCGAGAUUGGAUGCGGGCAAGGGUGAAAUUGUGCGGUAAGAGCGCACACCGAUCCCGCGUGAGCGGGACGGCGGCAAGCCUUAUCGGCCUGCAAGGCGGGUUGGGCCGCGGCCGGCAACUCAGCUGGAGGCCGGCAACGGAUCCCGCCGCGUAGAUAGAUAGCUGUCGAUCCGUUUUUGUGAAAAGGCGGAUUACAGAACUCGGCUUAUUAAACUAGUUUUGAG